rnacentral:rRNA from 1 species
AUUGAACGCUGGCGGCAGGCUUAACACAUGCAAGUCGAACGGUAACAUAAAGAAGCUUGCUCCUUUGAUGACGAGUGGCGGACGGGUGAGUAAUGCUUGGGAAUCUAGCUUAUGGAGGGGGAUAACUACGGGAAACUGUAGCUAAUACCGCGUAGAAUCGAGAGAUGAAAGUGUGGGACCUUCGGGCCACAUGCCAUAGGAUGAGCCCAAGUGGGAUUAGGUAGUUGGUGAGGUAAAGGCUCACCAAGCCGACGAUCUCUAGCUGGUCUGAGAGGAUGACCAGCCACACUGGGACUGAGACACGGCCCAGACUCCUACGGGAGGCAGCAGUGGGGAAUAUUGCGCAAUGGGGGCAACCCUGACGCAGCCAUGCCGCGUGAAUGAAGAAGGCCUUCGGGUUGUAAAGUUCUUUCGGUAGCGAGGAAGGCAUUUAGUUUAAUAGACUAGGUGAUUGAC